UAGGAACUUAGGAAUACACUUUAAACCGGAGGCCUUCAAAGCCUAAGACAAGAGAUACCUCUUAGUACCUG
rnacentral:tRNA from 1 species